rnacentral:lncRNA from 1 species
ACCAGUUCCAGGCACACAGACUUCCUGUCAGUUCUUGGUCAAGCAAGUUCUCGUCCACCUGAGGACCUUGUCCUUGCCUGUUCUUCCGUCUGCCUGGAAGGCUUUCUUCUGUCUUCUGUGCCUGGCUCCUUCCCCACCUUCCGGCCUCACUUGAGAUGUGAUCUUCUCUGACCAUCUUAGCUGAAGUUGGCCUCCUCUCCCUUAAUCUCCAUUGAGCUAAACAGUUUCUUUCAUCUAGAACUUACUAUAGUAAUUAUGUGUUUACUAGUUCACUGUCUGGAAUCGUUUACCCUAGAGCAGUCUACGAUGUAAAGCCAGGAUGGUCAAACUACAGCGCAAGCUUUGUUUUUGCAAAGCUCUGGAGGCCCUCCCAGUCCUGAAGAGGUUAACGGAGAGUCUAGCACCUUUUAAAGGUCUGAAUAGGAAACGUUUGUCUUCUGUUGUCUCUAAGGGCAGCCACUAUGAGACUUCAAAAGAACCUUGGUCUCCAGAAUCUUAACCUGAACAUGAAAUUGACCUAUAGCCUGGAAGCCUGCCCCACCCCACGAGUUGUCCCGCUGUUCUGGACCAAGCCAAUAUAUUUCUUAAUGUAUCUGAUUGAUGUCUCAUGACUUCCUGACCACCUUGGGUACAUGUUCUCAGGAUCUCCUGAUGGAUGUGCCAGAGGCCAUGGUCACUCAUAUUUGGCUCAGAAUAAAUCUUUUCAAA